rnacentral:lncRNA from 1 species
AUGUCACAGUCCCCGCUGACAUCACGGGCACAGCCCUGGGCCAGAGUCAGGAUGCAUCUGGAGGGGUGGCAGCAGCUUCCCUCCUGGGGGUGGUCCCACCACACACUGCAGGCUCUGCCGGGGAAGCCACCUGGGAAGCGCAGGGCUCCAGGGCGAUUCUGGCCACAGCCCCCCUCAGGCACCUCCAGACACACACGUCCCCCUCUUCAGGCUGAGCCUACUGACUUGUGUAGGCAGGGCCUCCCUCCAGGAGUCACCCAGGUCCUGGGUCCCAGCAGCCACGGGCACCCCACGUGCCAGGUCGUGGCAUCCACGCACGUGGCAUCCCCUGAAAGGGACCCAGGCUCUGGAGAUGCGCCAGCCCAGGGGCCGCAGCCUGGAAGCCUGAGAUCACCAACAGAUGCUGGCUGGAAGGACCACCACCUGAUCGCAGAGGUUCCACUCCAACCCGCCAGCGCUAGUGCAGCCCUGAGCCCCAGACGGACGGGAAGAGGACGCCAGCCCGGGGUGGCCAGACGCAGAUUAAACACCAGACGCCCAGCAGACAACAGAAGGUCAGAUAAGCAACGAGUUAACCUUUACUGCAAGUGUGUCCCACACACCACCCGAGGUACGUUUAUGCCAGGCAACUUUCGACCGUUUGUAGGAACUACAAUUGCGCCUGGCGCCCCACGCUUUAUCAGCAAUAUCUGGCUACGCCUGACAGCAGCACCGACCUCCUGGCAGGACUCAGUCCCCAGGGCCCUGAUGUUUUCCUACUCAAGCUCUGUAUUUGUUAAAAUAGAGUGUUUCCAAUGAAAACUUAAGCUUCCAAAUGGUGAUAAGCCACACACCCCCAAAUGUGAAGGAUGUAAACUAUCUCAACAGUAACCUCUCACACCAACUAUGUGUUUGGCCGUAUCUCAGAUUCCCCAAACUAAAGGAGAUAAACCUGUUUCUUUCUGCUCUCUAACCAGUACACUGUCCACCAUCCAUGUAGCUCUCAUCCUGUCCGUAUCGGGGGCAGGGGCUGUGGGUCUUGACAGAUAUGUGUGCCUCCAAAAGACUCCAGAACACUUGCCCCCAGGGCACCAGCAUGACCAUUUNNNNNNNNNNNNNNNNNNNNNNNNNNNNNNNNNNNNNNNNNNNNNNNNNNNNNNNNNNNNNNNNNNNNNNNNNNNNNNNNNNNNNNNNNNNNNNNNNNNGACUCCAGAACACUUGCCCCCAGGGCACCAGCAUGACCAUUUCUGACUGGGAAGUUGAGGCCAGGGCGUGAGGCGCCAGGCAUGCCCUACAGCCUGCCUGGGUUGGGGGCACAAGUCGGGAGCACAAGCCAGGGGCAUGUGGGGACUAGCCAGGCUGGAGCUUUUGGGCCAAGGGUCUCAUCACAGAUUCUCCCUGGGCUGGCCACACAGGAAGCCCCAAAAGCCCAGCCACAGCCUGGAGACCAGAAAGAAACCAGGAGGGAUCCUGCGGGUCACCCUUGGACCAGCCGGAGAGCGGCCUGAGGCAAGAGCGGGGGACAGUGCCCUGUGGGGGGACCUCAGCCAGCCACCACAUCCGGUCCACAGGAGCAGUAUCCCUUCUGACCUGGUUCCACAGACUUCCUGCUCCCGAGGGCAAAGGCAGGGGGCUUGUGGAAGCCGAGACAGGCUCAGGGAGGCCCUGAAAUGGGUACCUGCAAGCCCCUCAGCUGCAGCUCACUGUGCACAGCAGGCUGGUGGGAAACCCCGAGGUGGGCACUCACUGGACCCGACUGCCUUGACACCGGGCAAUGCCUGGACAUUGUCCCAAUGUGGCGGCCCUAAAGAAUGACCCGCUCCAGCGCCCACAGGGCGGAGGGAACAGACCCGGCCUAGAGAGCAUGUCCCUGCCUAUAGCUUCAGAGGAAACAAGCCCAUGUCCCGGGGCCGGCAGGUGGAGGGAGGACUAGGCCUGGGCAAAGAGCCCCACAACUGCUCCCUGCUGGUGUGAGAGCAGAGGCCGAGGCAGCGCACUGAUGAAGGGCACAAGGGGUCCUGGAAUCUGCCAGUGCCGCAGGUGAAGCCAAACAAGCAAAGGGCUGCCAGGCCAGUGGGUCUCUGUGGGCGACUCCUGGAAAGGUGUGGCCUAGUACACGGUGUGAUCUGGUUCCUAUAAGAUGCCAGGCUCCCAGUGUGGGCCCUGGAGUAACCCCCAAGCCAAUUCUAGAACCCUCAGGGCUCUGCACUCUAGGCACCAACCCCAUCCCUCUGUUGCACCCUUCUUCUCUCUCAAAGCCCUUGGUCUUCCCAGCAUUAUCUCCCUUGGAUUCUUCAUCUCAGCCUACUCCCCAUCCAGCUGCCCUGCACGCAGCCCCGCUGGGUCACCCACCAGGCUCCCAGAGAGCCCUGCCACGUGCCCAUCAGCUGGGCCCUGGGACUGCAGUGAGCAUGAGGGUUACUGCAAACACUCAUCAAGGUCCCAUGGAAGCUGCAGGUCCCAGAGUGAGCGACGCUGCCCUGCAACCUGGGGUGGGGACAGCCAGACCUCCAAAAUGGGGAUCAUGCUGGAGCACGCCGGGGGUGAUGUUUAAGCACAACUUUUUAACACUCUGAGGUGUGUCAUGAACCAACAUGAAGUCGUGACGCAUGAGGUGUAUCUGUCCUUUGAACAGUGAUGCCGUGACCCAGGAUGACACAGGACACGGUCUGCACCCGGGCACCCCUGGCCGCCACCUGCAGGAGAGACUUCUGUUGCCUUUCCGCUCCUGCAGAGGCACUGCGGGCGGGGGCGCUGGCGAGAGCAGCCCUGCCUGUGGCUCAGGCGCAGGGACACCUGGCGGGCGCCCCGACGCAUGCACUCACGCACACACGUGCGCAUGUGUUCUGCAGGCUGGAUCUGUGCAGCGAGAGGAAGGGCUCGCCCUCCUUAAACUACCUGGCUUCUGCCACUCACUGAAAGGGACUUAUAGGAAAGCUCCAGACAGCUGGGGAAGCCAGAUCAGUGGACCAUCCUGGGUGCUGAGGGGACAUGUAGGGUUCUGAGAAGGAAACGCCGCCAUUAACCCCUGCCUGAGAGUCCCACCGGCCAUCUGUAUGGACCCCCAUAUCACAAGGGGAUGUAGGUUCUGCCAGGAGCUUGGCGGAAAAUGGGCAGGACUGAGGGGCCGAGGCCAGAGGAGCCGGUCUUCCCACCCCCGGCCUCCUGCUCAGGCUGCAUCCAGUGGGCAGAGAUGGUCCUGAGGAGCACCUUAGCAGAGUGAAGGUCCUCCUCCUGGAGGUCACUUGGGCCUCGCUUACUCAUAUGUAGAAAGGGAGCUUGGGGACUUGCACAACAAGCCCCUGAAGUGCCCAAAUAGGGUGCGGCAGGUGCAGAACUGCUCAAGGUUGGACUUUCUGCACCACCAGGCCUCGUUCCCUGACCAGGCAACAGAAAGAAUCCUGACUCGUGGCUAGAGCACACCUGCUCCCUAGAUCACAACAGCAAGGACCCCAUUCAGGUAUGAAAACCCCAGAAAACACCAGACACUGACGAUGACCACGACCCAACCCACAUACGCAUCUCCUUUACAAAAGCCCUUUCCAGGGAAACCAAAAGUGCCCCCCACCACACUGACCUGCCCAACGCCCCCCAGCCCCACUGCCAGCUCCCUCCCCAGACUAAAGCCUUGUAAAGCCUCCCUGUAAGGCCUCUGUGGUCCUGGGGGGUGAAGGGGGGAGGUCUAGAAAUUUUUCAAGACAGAGACCAAGCCCCACAACAGCCCUGAAGAGAAACACUGCACCUCUGAGGCAACCAUGCCAAGUCCAUCCGACGAGGCUUUCCUGGUGUCCCAGGCUGUCCAGGGGACAUGCCCUGUCCCCAGGCACUGCCUUGUGGGGGCUGGGCCCUCCCUGAGCGCUACCCACCAGUAAAUCCCCAAGGCUCAGGUGGCCCCGCGGCUGUCCGGAACACCUCUCAGCUAGCUGGCUUCCCCGGAGCUGGGAUGAGCAGAUAUGACGCUUUCAGUUUAUUAAAAAAAAAAAAAAAACCAAAACCUCACCUACUUCCUCUUGCAACCCAGAGGUAAUUACUAGGUAGUCAGAAGGAGGAGGAGGUUCAGAUGGAAUCAGAAGCCACAGUUCAGAGGAGUCUGUGCUCACAGGACCUGCUGUCACAGUUCAGAGCCAGAUGAUUAGAUGCCUGUCCCCAACCCGCCUCAGAGAAAUGAGAGGGACCCAGAAUCAGAUGAGAAGGCCUGACAGUAGUGGGGUAAAAAACCAGAGGCUUGCAAUACCCGCUGCAGACCUUGGGGUCUUGCCUAUAGCUGGGGUGGAGGUCCAGCCAGCUCCUUCCAGAUCUCCUUCCCUCUCUCCACUGCCAGAUACAGCAGACACAACUGGCCCCCAAAUCUGGGAGCUGCCCCCACCAGCUAGAUUCCCGGCCCACACUCACCACCCCCAUUCCAUUCCUCAGAGGCUGGGCCCCAGAUACCACCGCAGGGGUUGAACUAAACAUCUGGGGCUCCAGAGACAAUAAGAUGGGCCAGUAAAGUCUUGUCUAGCCCUGUGUGUGCUGCUGAGGGUGCUACAGUCAGCCUGCCCUCGCACCCCCACCCCAACCUCUGCCUGCAGAGCCCAGAGCAGGCCACAAUUCGGUUGAAACACAGCAGACAAAAACAAACUCCUGUUAACAACCACAAACUUCCCCCAGCAGCUCAGUCUGUUCCCUUCGGGGGCCACAUCCAGCCCCCCAGCGGCUACCCCCUUCCCUAUCAGAGCCAUCCUCCCCUUCAGAUUCCUGUUUCCCCACUCAUCCCUCACACCCUGAGCCAAAGGAGCCCCUGGGGGGUCAGGAAACGCCUAUGUCCCUCAGGGCAGGAACGAAGGUGCCCAGAAACCCCUCAGGAUGGACGUGUGGACACCCCGGGAGCUCCAGACACUGGCCCAGCCUGGGGCUCCCGAUGGAGGGGGCUGGGGAGAGAAUGCUGGACUCCACCUACGUGCACGGAACCCUCCAGGCCGUUUCCUGCAAACAAUGCCAUCCGGAGGCCAAGGGAAUAACCCAGCUGCCCAAAGCCGGCCCAGGACGACGCCCCGGACGUCAGGGCAGGGCUUUCUUUCAGGCCCCCAGCCCGGUCCUGAACGCCUCCCCUGAGAAAACUGGGGCAGAGGGAGCAGGGGAAGCGCAGGACAGGGAGGGGGUGGUGUGGCUGCCGGGCACGCAGACGUCGGCCCCCCUCCUUCAUCUGAAGUGUUUCCGGAAAACAAAGCCGGUGGCGAGGGCGGAAGGGGGAGGCGCAGCCCGGCCAGCGCCGGGAGUUCCUGAGCGCCCCACAACAGGUCCCCCAGCCCAGACCCCUCCUGCUGUUCCCCUUUCCUGACCCCAGCUCCCCCGACAAAUCUGCAGGGCUACAAAGGGGCGAGUGUGCGCGCCAGCGUGGGGAGGAGCGACGGGCCUAGCGGAGAGGGCUGGAGGGGUGGGAGGCCAGGGGGAGUGGGCAGUGGGCUUGAGCACUGGGGGCGGGGCGGGGNGGUGGGGUGGGGCUGAGGGACGGACAGGCCAGCAGUCGGGAGUGACGAAUCCGUGGAGAACACUGAGGUCUGGAAUGAGGGACAGUAGGGUCUGGAGUGAGAAACGGAGGAGGAGGGGAAUAGUGAGGUCAGUAGUGUGAGGAUCUGUAAGGAGUGAGAACUGGCAGGACCUGAGUUUGGGAGUCACUGGCAACGACAAGGUCUGGAGUGCAAGGGGGUGGGAAUGAAGAGUUGGGUUGACAGUGUGGGGGUCACUGGGUUGUAGGGGCAGAUGGGGUCGCCGUGGGGGG